rnacentral:rRNA from 1 species
UACGGAAGGGGGCUAGCGUUGUUCGGAAUUACUGGGCGUAAAGCGCACGUAGGCGGAUAUUUAAGUCAGGGGUGAAAUCCCAGAGCUCAACUCUGGAACUGCCUUUGAUACUGGGUAUCUUGAGUAUGGAAGAGGUAAGUGGAAUUGCGAGUGUAGAGGUGAAUUCGUAGAUAUUCGCAGGAACACCAGUGGCGAAGGCGGCUUACUGGUCCAUUACUGACGGCUGAGGUGCGAAAGCGUGGGGAGCAACAGGG